rnacentral:rRNA from 1 species
CAGGGAAUAUUGCACAAUGGACGGAAGUCUGAUGCAGCGACGCCGCGUGGAUGAAGAAGGCCUUCGGGUUGUAAAAUCCUUUACAGGGGGAAGAGGAAGGACGGUACCCCUGGAACAAGUGUCGGCUAACUACGUGCCAGCAGCCGCGGUAAGACGUAGGACACAAGCGUUAUCCGGAUUUACUGGGCGUAAAGCGUCUGCAGGCGGACAGGUAAGUUGGGCGUGAAAGCUCCGUGCUCAACGCGGAGAGGUCGUUCAAUACUGCGUGUCUAGAGGGUGUCAGAGGGGAGUGGAAUUUCCGGAGUAGCGGUAAAAUGCGCAGAGAUCGGAAAGAACACCAAUGGCGAAGGCAGCUCCCUGGGGCAACCCUGACGCUAAGAGACGAAAGCUAGGGGAGCGAACA